rnacentral:rRNA from 1 species
AUUGAACGCUGGCGGCAGGCCUAACACAUGCAAGUCGAGCGGAUGAAGGGAGCUUGCUCCUGUAUUCAGCGGCGGACGGGUGAGUAAUGCCUAGGAAUCUGCCUGGUAUUGGGGGAUAACGUCCGUAAACGGGCGCUAAUACCGCAUACGUCCUUAGGGAGAAAGUCGGGGAUCUUCGGACCUCGCGCUAUCAGCUGAGCCUAGUUCGGAUUGGCUAGUGGGUUGGGUAAAGGCCUACCAUGGCGACGAUCCGUAACUGGUCUGAGAGGAUGAUCAGUCACACUGGAACGGAGAAAGGGUCAAAACUCCUACGGAAGGCAGCAGUGGGGAAUAUUGGAAAAUGGGGGAAGGCCGGAGCAAGAAAGGCCGCGUGGGUGAAGAAGGUCUUCGGAUGGUAAAGCACUUUAAGAGGGAAGAAAGAACAGGAAGGUAAUAACGUGCUGUUUUGAGGUUACCAACAGAAUAAGCACGGGUUAACAUCGU